UACGUAGGUGGCAAGCGUUGUUCGGAAUUAUUGGGCGUAAAGGGCGCGUAGGCGGCCUGUUAAGUCGGCUGUGAAAGCCCGGGGCUCAACCCCGGAAAGUCGGCCGAUACUGGCAAGCUAGAGUACGGAAGAGGUAGCUGGAAUUCCUGGUGUAGCGGUGAAAUGCGUAGAUAUCAGGAGGAACACCGGUGGCGAAGGCGGCCCUCUGGACGGUGACUGACGCUGAGACGCGAAAGCGUGGGGAGCAAACAGG
rnacentral:rRNA from 1 species